rnacentral:rRNA from 1 species
UACGAAGGGGGCUAGCGUUGCUCGGAAUCACUGGGCGUAAAGGGCGCGUAGGUGGCGCGGGAAGUCAACGGUGAAAGCUCAGGGCUCAACCCUGAGUCGGCCGUCGAUACUCCCGGGCUCGAGCACUGUAGAGGCAGGUGGAAUUCCGGGUGUAGCGGUGGAAUGCGUAGAGAUCCGGAAGAACACCGGUGGCGAAGGCGGCCUGCUGGGCAGUUGCUGACACUGAGGCGCGACAGCGUGGGGAGCAAACAGG